rnacentral:rRNA from 1 species
AUUGAACGCUGGCGGCAGGCCUAACACAUGCAAGUCGAGCGGUAGCACAGAGAGCUUGCUCUCGGGUGACGAGCGGCGGACGGGUGAGUAAUGUCUGGGAAACUGCCUGAUGGAGGGGGAUAACUACUGGAAACGGUAGCUAAUACCGCAUAAUGUCGCAAGACCAAAGUGGGGGACCUUCGGGCCUCAUGCCAUCAGAUGUGCCCAGAUGGGAUUAGCUAGUAGGUGGGGUAACGGCUCACCUAGGCGACGAUCCCUAGCUGGUCUGAGAGGAUGACCAGCCACACUGGAACUGAGACACGGUCCAGACUCCUACGGGAGGCAGCAGUGGGGAAUAUUGCACAAUGGGCGCAAGCCUGAUGCAGCCAUGCCGCGUGUGUGAAGAAGGCCUUCGGGUUGUAAAGCACUUUCAGCGGGGAGGAAGGCGAUAAGGUUAAUAACCUUGUCGAUUGACGUUACCCGCAGAAGAAGCACCGGCUAACUCCGUGCCAGCAGCCGCGGUAAUACGGAGGGUGCAAGCGUUAAUCGGAAUUACUGGGCGUAAAGCGCACGCAGGCGGUCUGUCAAGUCGGAUGUGAAAUCCCCGGGCUCAACCUGGGAACUGCAUUCGAAACUGGCAGGCUAGAGUCUUGUAGAGGGGGGUAGAAUUCCAGGUGUAGCGGUGAAAUGCGUAGAGAUCUGGAGGAAUACCGGUGGCGAAGGCGGCCCCCUGGACAAAGACUGACGCUCAGGUGCGAAAGCGUGGGGAGCAAACAGGAUUAGAUACCCUGGUAGUCCACGCCGUAAACGAUGUCGAUUUGGAGGUUGUGCCCUUGAGGCGUGGCUUCCGGAGCUAACGCGUUAAAUCGGCCGCCUGGGGAGUACGGCCGCAAGGUUAAAACUCAAAUGAAUUGACGGGGGCCCGCACAAGCGGUGGAGCAUGUGGUUUAAUUCGAUGCAACGCGAAGAACCUUACCUGGUCUUGACAUCCACAGAACCUGGCAGAGAUGCCGGGGUGCCUUCGGGAACUGUGAGACAGGUGCUGCAUGGCUGUCGUCAGCUCGUGUUGUGAAAUGUUGGGUUAAGUCCCGCAACGAGCGCAACCCUUAUCCUUUGUUGCCAGCGGUUAGGCCGGGAACUCAAAGGAGACUGCCAGUGAUAAACUGGAGGAAGGUGGGGAUGACGUCAAGUCAUCAUGGCCCUUACGACCAGGGCUACACACGUGCUACAAUGGCGCAUACAAAGAGAAGCGACCUCGCGAGAGCAAGCGGACCUCAUAAAGUGCGUCGUAGUCCGGAUUGGAGUCUGCAACUCGACUCCAUGAAGUCGGAAUCGCUAGUAAUCGUGAAUCAGAAUGUCACGGUGAAUACGUUCCCGGGCCUUGUACACACCGCCCGUCACACCAUGGGAGUGGGUUGCAAAAGAAGUAGGUAGCUUAACCUUCGGGAGGGCGCUUACCACUUUGUGAUUCAUGACUGGGGUGA